AGAUAGAGGCGCGACUGACAUGAGUAUCCGGAGCGCGGCGCAGGGGCCGCCGGAGAAAGGGGAUGUCGCCGAAGGUUUCGUACCUCCUGAGGGUUCGGAUCCUGGGCCGCAGGUCAACAGCCUGCGGACUGUCGCGAAAGCGGAGCGCUAUCAUG
rnacentral:ncRNA from 1 species